AGUGGACGCUGGCGGUAGGCCUAACACAUGCAAGUCGAACGGCAGCACAGUAAGAGCUUGCUCUUACGGGUGGCGAGUGGCGGACGGGUGAGGAAUACAUCGGAAUCUACUUUUUCGUGGGGGAUAACGUAGGGAAACUUACGCUAAUACCGCAUACGACCUACGUGUGAAAGCAGGGGAUCUUCGGACCUUGUGCGAUUGAAUGAGCCGAUGUCGGAUUAGCUAGUUGGCGGGGUAAAGGCCCACCAAGGCGACGAUCCGUAGCUGGUCUGAGAGGAUGAUCAGCCACACUGGAACUGAGACACGGUCCAGACUCCUACGGGAGGCAGCAGUGGGGAAUAUUGGACAAUGGGCGCAAGCCUGAUCCAGCCAUACCGCGUGGGUGAAGAAGGCCUUCGGGUUGUAAAGCCCUUUUGUUGGGAAAGAAAAGCAGCAGGUUAAUACCCCGCUGUUCUGACGGUACCCAAAGAAUAAGCACCGGCUAACUUCGUG
rnacentral:rRNA from 1 species